rnacentral:rRNA from 1 species
AGUGAACGCUGGCGGUAGGCCUAACACAUGCAAGUCGAACGGCAGCACAGUAAGAGCUUGCUCUUACGGGUGGCGAGUGGCGGACGGGUGAGGAAUACAUCGGAAUCUACUUUUUCGUGGGGGAUAACGGAGGGAAACUUACGCUAAUACCGCAUACGACCUACGGGGGAAAGCAGGGGAUCUUCGGACCUUGCGCGAUUGAAUGAGCCGAUGUCGGAUUAGCUAGUUGGCGGGGUAAAGGCCCACCAAGGCGACGAUCCGUAGCUGGUCUGAGAGGAUGAUCAGCCACACUGGAACUGAGACACGGUCCAGACUCCUACGGGAGGCAGCAGUGGGGAAUAUUGGACAAUGGGCGCAAGCCUGAUCCAGCCAUACCGCGUGGGUGAAGAAGGCCUUCGGGCUGUAAAGCCCUUUUGUUGGGAAAGAAAAGCAGCAGGUUAAUACCCCGCUGUUCUGACGGUACCCAAAGAAUAAGCACCGGCUAACUUCGUG